rnacentral:rRNA from 1 species
GACGAACGCUGGCGGCGUGCUUAACACAUGCAAGUCGAACGGAAAGGCCCUGCUUUUGUGGGGUGCUCGAGUGGCGAACGGGUGAGUAACACGUGAGUAACCUGCCCUUGACUUUGGGAUAACUUCAGGAAACUGGGGCUAAUACCGGAUAGGAGCUCCUGCUGCAUGGUGGGGGUUGGAAAGUUUCGGCGGUUGGGGAUGGACUCGCGGCUUAUCAGCUUGUUGGUGGGGUAGUGGCUUACCAAGGCUUUGACGGGUAGCCGGCCUGAGAGGGUGACCGGCCACAUUGGGACUGAGAUACGGCCCAGACCCCUACGGGAGGCAGCAGUGGGGAAUAUUGCACAAUGGGCGGAAGCCUGAUGCAGCAACGCCGCGUGCGGGAUGACGGCCUUCGGGUUGUAAACCGCUUUCGCCUGUGACGAAGCGUGAGUGACGGUGAUGGGUAAAGAAGCACCGGCUAACUACGUGCCAGCAGCCGCGGUGAUACGUAGGGUGCGAGCGUUGUCCGGAUUUAUUGGGCGUAAAGGGCUCGUAGGUGGUUGAUCGCGUCGGAAGUGUAAUCUUGGGGCUUAACCCUGAGCGUGCUUUCGAUACGGGUUGACUUGAGGAAGGUAGGGGAGAAUGGAAUUCCUGGUGGAGCGGUGGAAUGCGCAGAUAUCAGGAGGAACACCAGUGGCGAAGGCGGUUCUCUGGGCCUUUCCUGACGCUGAGGAGCGAAAGCGUGGGGAGCGAACAGGCUUAGAUACCCUGGUAGUCCACGCUGUAAACGGUGGGUACUAGGUGUGGGGUCCAUUCCACGGGUUCCGUGCCGUAGCUAACGCUUUAAGUACCCCGCCUGGGGAGUACGGCCGCAAGGCUAAAACUCAAAGGAAUUGACGGGGCCCCGCACAAGCGGCGGAGCAUGCGGAUUAAUUCGAUGCAACGCGUAGAACCUUACCUGGGUUUGACAUGGAUCGGGAGUGCUCAGAGAUGGGUGUGCCUCUUUUGGGGUCGGUUCACAGGUGGUGCAUGGCUGUCGUCAGCUCGUGUCGUGAGAUGUUGGGUUAAGUCCCGCAACGAGCGCAACCCUUGUUCACUGUUGCCAGCACGUUAUGGUGGGGACUCAGUGGAGACCGCCGGGGUCAACUCGGAGGAAGGUGGGGAUGACGUCAAGUCAUCAUGCCCCUUAUGUCCAGGGCUUCACGCAUGCUACAAUGGCUGGUACAGAGAGUGGCGAGCCUGUGAGGGUGAGCGAAUCUCGGAAAGCCGGUCUCAGUUCGGAUUGGGGUCUGCAACUCGACCUCAUGAAGUCGGAGUCGCUAGUAAUCGCAGAUCAGCAACGCUGCGGUGAAUACGUUCCCGGG